rnacentral:rRNA from 1 species
ACGUAGGGGGCAAGCGUUAUCCGGAAUUACUGGGUGUAAAGGGAGCGUAGGCGGCAUGGUAAGUAAGAUGUGAAAGCCCGAGGCUUAACCUCGAGGAUUGCAUUUUAAACUAUUAAGCUAGAGUACAGGAGAGGAAAGCGGAAUUCCUAGUGUAGCGGUGAAAUGCGUAGAUAUUAGGAAGAACACCAGUGGCGAAGGCGGCUUUCUGGACUGAAACUGACGCUGAGGCUCGAAAGCGUGGGGAGCGAACAG